rnacentral:rRNA from 1 species
GGUGGGGAUGACGUCAAGUCCUCAUGGCCCUUAUGCCCAGGGCUACACACGUGCUACAAUGGACGGUACAAAGGGUAGCGAUGCCGCGGAGGUGAAAGCCCAAUCCCAAAAAGCCGUCCACAGUUCGGAUUGGAGUCUGCAACUCGACUCCAUGAAGCCGGAAUCGCUAGUAAUCGUGGAUCAGCAUGCCACGGUGAAUACGUUCCCGGGCCUU